rnacentral:rRNA from 1 species
UACGUAGGUGACCAGCGUUGUCCGGAUUUACUGGGCGUAAAGAGCGCGCAGGCGGUCGUUCAAGUCGAGUGUGAAAGCCCCCGGCUCAACUGGGGAGGGUCAUUCGAUACUGCCGUGACUAGAGGUCGGUAGGGGAGUGUGGAAUUCCUGGUGGAGCGGUGAAAUGCGCAGAUAUCAGGAGGAACACCCGUAGCGAAGGCGGCACUCUGGGCCGAUACUGACACUGAGACACGAAGGCCAGGGGAGCAAACGGG